AAUAGAUACCCAGGUAGUCCACGCCGUAAACGAUGAGUGCUAAGUGUUAGAGGGUUUCCGCCCUUUAGUGCUGCAGCUAACGCAUUAAGCACUCCGCCUGGGGAGUACGGCCGCAAGGCUGAAACUCAAAGGAAUUGACGGGGGCCCGCACAAGCGGUGGAGGAUGUGGUUUAAUUCGAAGCAACGCGAAGAACCUUACCAGGUCUUGACAUCCUCUGCCAACCCUAGAGAUAGGGCGUUCCCCUUUGGGGGACAGAGUGACAGGUGGUGCAUGGUUGUCGUCAGCUCGUGUCGUGAGAUGUUGGGUUAAGUCCCGCAACGAGCGCAACCCUUGAUCUUAGUUGCCAGCAUUCAGUUGGGCACUCUAAGGUGACUGCCGGUGACAAACCGGAGGAAGGUGGGGAUGACGUCAAAUCAUCAUGCCCCUUAUGACCUGGGCUACACACGUGCUACAAUGGAUGGUACAAAGAGCUGCGAACCCGCGAGGGUAAGCGAAUCUCAUAAAGCCAUUCUCAGUUCGGAUUGUAGG
rnacentral:rRNA from 1 species